GACGAACGCUGGCGGCGUGCUUAACACAUGCAAGUCGAGCGGUAAGGCCCUUCGGGGUACACGAGCGGCGAACGGGUGAGUAACACGUGGGUGAUCUGCCUCGCACUCUGGGAUAAGCCUGGGAAACUGGGUCUAAUACCGGAUAGGACCACUGGUCGCAUGGUUGGUGGUGGAAAGAUUUAUCGGUGUGAGAUGGGCCCGCGGCCUAUCAGCUUGUUGGUGGGGUAAUGGCCUACCAAGGCGACGACGGGUAGCCGGCCUGAGAGGGCGACCGGCCACACUGGGACUGAGACACGGCCCAGACUCCUACGGGAGGCAGCAGUGGGGAAUAUUGCACAAUGGGCGGAAGCCUGAUGCAGCGACGCCGCGUGAGGGAUGACGGCCUUCGGGUUGUAAACCUCUUUCGACAGGGACGAAGCGCAAGUGACGGUACCUGUAGAAGAAGCACCGGCCAACUACGUGCCAGCCGCCGCCGUAAAAC
rnacentral:rRNA from 1 species